UGGGAUGUGGCUCAAGUGGUAGCGCACCCGCCUAGCAUGCGUGCGGCCUGGGUUCGAUCCUCAGCACCACAU
rnacentral:tRNA from 1 species